UGCUGGAGGUAUCAGAAGUGCGAAUGCUGACAUAAGUAACGAUAAAGCGGGUGAAAAGCCCGCUCGCCGGAAGACCAAGGGUUCCUGUCCAACGUUAAUCGGGGCAGGGUGAGUCGACCCCUAAGGCGAGGCCGAAAGGCGUAGUCGAUGGGAAACAGGUUAAUAUUCCUGUACUUGGUGUUACUGCGAAGGGGGGACGGAGAAGGCUAUGUUAGCCGGGCGACGGUUGUCCCGGUUUAAGCAUGUAGGCGGAGGUUCCAGGUAAAUCCGGUACCUUUUAACGCUGAGGUGUGAUGACGAGGCACUACGGUGCUGAAGUAACAAAUGCCCUGCUUCCAGGAAAAGCCUCUAAGCAUCAGGUAACAUCAAAUCGUACCCCAAACCGACACAGGUGGUCAGGUAGAGAAUACCAAGGCGCUUGAGAGAACUCGGGUGAAGGAACUAGGCAAAAUGGUGCCGUAACUUCGGGAGAAGGCACGCUGAUAUGUAGGUGAAGCCCCUGCGGGUGGAGCUGAAAUCAGUCGAAGAUACCAGCUGGCUGCAACUGUUUAUUAAAAACACAGCACUGUGCAAACACGAAAGUGGACGUAUACGGUGUGACGCCUGCCCGGUGCCGGAAGGUUAAUUGAUGGGGUUAGCGGCAACGCGAAGCUCUUGAUCGAAGCCCCGGUAAACGGCGGCCGUAACUAUAACGGUCCUAAGGUAGCGAAAUUCCUUGUCGGGUAAGUUCCGACCUGCACGAAUGGCGUAAUGAUGGCCAGGCUGUCUCCACCCGAGACUCAGUGAAAUUGAACUCGCUGUGAAGAUGCAGUGUACCCGCGGCAAGACGGAAAGACCCCGUGAACCUUUACUAUAGCUUGACACUGAACACUGGUCCUUGAUGUGUAGGAUAGGUGGGAGGCUUUGAAGCGUGGACGCCAGUCUGCGUGGAGCCAUCCUUGAAAUACCACCCUUUAAUGGCUGGUGUUCUAACGUAGACCCGUAAUCCGGGUUGCGGACAGUGUCUGGUGGGUAGUUUGACUGGGGCGGUCUCCUCCCAAAGAGUAACGGAGGAGCACGAAGGUUAGCUAAUCCUGGUCGGACAUCAGGAGGUUAGUGCAAUGGCAUAAGCUAGCUUGACUGCGAGAGUGACGGCUCGAGCAGGUGCGAAAGCAGGUCAUAGUGAUCCGGUGGUUCUGAAUGGAAGGGCCAUCGCUCAACGGAUAAAAGGUACUCCGGGGAUAACAGGCUGAUACCGCCCAAGAGUUCAUAUCGACGGCGGUGUUUGGCACCUCGAUGUCGGCUCAUCACAUCCUGGGGCUGAAGUAGGUCCCAAGGGUAUGGCUGUUCGCCAUUUAAAGUGGUACGCGAGCUGGGUUUAGAACGUCGUGAGACAGUUCGGUCCCUAUCUGCCGUGGGCGCUGGAGAAUUGAGGGGGGCUGCUCCUAGUACGAGAGGACCGGAGUGGACGCAUCACUGGUGUUCGGGUUGUCAUGCCAAUGGCACUGCCCGGUAGCUAAAUGCGGAAAAGAUAAGUGCUGAAAGCAUCUAAGCACGAAACUUGCCCC
rnacentral:rRNA from 1 species